ensembl:lncRNA
CCAGCUUCAGUUCUCAGAUGCACGUAUGAUAAAUCACUAUCAUAAUUUAGACCAUAGAAAUAAUAAUGAAAGUAGCCCAUGAUCAGUAUGCUCACUGACACACAACUUUCUCAUCUCACAGUUUCUUUCUAUUAGCACUGCUCCUACAUGCCUGUUUGAUCAAUGGGCUUCAGAAGUGGAGGUAUGGAUCAACGAGGUGCUGGAGAGUUGAAAGCCUGGAUGAGGAGAGGCUGGUGAUUCAGGCCCGGCUCAUUAGCAGAGCUGUUUAAUUACAUUUGCACUGAUGGAUCUCCCCAGCAUGCUGUUACCCAUGACAGAGAGCCAGCAAGAGAGAUGAACAGAGAGCAAGAGAGACAGAGAGAGAAAGAGAGAGAAUAUGAGGGAAGAAUUGAGGGGCAGAGAGAGAGCAAGAGCGAGUGAGAGAAAGAGAGAGAGUGAGAGAAAGAAUUAGCAGUGUAACAUCAAACUAGUGUCAAACUGGGACAUUCCUUUUAAUUGCCCGUUUUCUAUUUUUUUUUUUUUUUUUACCAGGAGGGCCAGAGAAGGAGAAGACGACCGUGUUUACAAAUUCACCAGGCUGCAGCUCUGAGAUUAUUAUUUAGUCCAUUCGGCCCGAGACACGCAAUGCAUUCAGCUCCCCAGGGGGCAGGAUUACUUCAUUUGAUUGCAAGAGCUAAUUGCACACUACUUUUAGAGCGGCGGAGGAGAGGGGCCUUGCUCUGAGCGAAGUUAGUCCAUCUGUGUGCAGGCAUUUCAAUAAUUGAGUUUGAGAAAUGUGCCAAACUUGAUGAGAAUACGAGUGUUAUCUGGGAUGCUGGUUGGGGACGCUGGGUUGGAUUAAGACUUUUGGAACAAACGUGUUGUGCUGAGUGAUAUUGUGUCAAAUUGUGUCUGAGUGAUAGAGUACCACUGCACUACAACACAAGACUUGAUAUUACAGUGUUUGAGCCCCAUCCUAAGGCUCUUCCGUAUUAAUGGGAAGGUCCGGAAGACCGGUUCGAAGUGGGAUGAAUGCAGAAGCUAAACCUUGCGCUCGUGCAAAGUCUACUCCGGAGUAAGGUAAUGAUGACAAAUACCACAGGAAUUUCAGACAUUAGCUGGGUGUAUUCACCUCACAGACGUGUCACACUAGACA